GACGGAGGAUGCAAGUGUUAUCCGGAAUCACUGGGCGUAAAGCGUCUGUAGGUGGUCAAAUAAGUCAACUGUUAAAUCUUGAGGCUUAACCUCAAAAUCGCAGUCGAAACUAUUAGGCUAGAGUAUAGUAGGGGUAAAGGGAAUUUCCAGUGGAGCGGUGAAAUGCGUAGAGAUUGGAAAGAACACCGAUGGCGAAGGCACUUUACUGGGCCAUUACUGACACUGAGAGACGAAAGCUAGGGGAGCAAAUGGG
rnacentral:rRNA from 1 species